rnacentral:rRNA from 1 species
GAUUUCUGACGGAGGCUUGGUGCUCGCUUCCUCACGGAAGUGCGGUGCCGCUGUCUGCGUCAUCCUUCUAGAUGACGCGUGUGCUAGGUUAACUCCUGGUGUGCGCGGCUGUCUAGAUCUUUUACUUUGAAGAAAUUAGAGUGUUCAAAGCAGGCAUACCGCUUUGCAUACAUUAGCAUGGAAUAAUAAUUUAGGACUUCGGUUCUAUUUUGUUGGUUUCUAGGACUGAAGUAAUGAUUGAUAGGGAUAGUUGGGGGUGCUAGUAUUCAGCGGCCAGAGGUGAAAUUCUCGGAUUCGCUGAAGACUAACUUAUGCGAAAGCAUU